UACGUAGGGUGCAAGCGUUAAUCGGAAUUACUGGGCGUAAAGCGUGCGUAGGUGGUUGUUUAAGUCUGCUGUGAAAGCCCUGGGCUCAACCUGGGAAUUGCAGUGGAUACUGGGCGACUAGAGUGUGGGUAGAGGGAUAGUGGAAUUCCGGUGUAGCAGUGAAAUGCGUAGAGAUCGGAAGGAACAUCUGUGGCGAAGGCGACUAUCUGGGCCAACACUGACACUGAGGCACGGAAAGCGUGGGGAGCAAACAGG
rnacentral:rRNA from 1 species